AGUGAACGCUGGCGGCAGGCCUAACACAUGCAAGUCGAGCGGCAGCGCGGGGGCAACCCUGGCGGCGAGCGGCGGACGGGUGAGGAAUUCGUCGGAAUCUGCCUUUUUGUGGGGGAUAACGUAGGGAAACUUACGCUAAUACCGCAUACGUCCUACGGGAGAAAGUGGGGGACCGCAAGGCCUCACGCAGAAAGAUGAGCCGACGACCGAUUAGCUAGUUGGUGGGGUAAAGGCCCACCAAGGCGACGAUCGGUAGCUGGUCUGAGAGGAUGAUCAGCCACACUGGGACUGAGACACGGCCCAGACUCUUACGGGAGGCAGCAGUGGGGAAUAUUGGACAAUGGGCGCAAGCCUGAUCCAGCCAUGCCGCGUGUGUGAAGAAGGCCUUCGGGUUGUAAAGCACUUUUGUCCGGAAAGAAAUCCCUGGAGCUAAUACCUUCGGGGGAUGACGGUACCGGAAGAAUAAGCACCGGCUAACUUCGUG
rnacentral:rRNA from 1 species